rnacentral:misc_RNA from 1 species
AAAAAAAAAAAAAAAAAAAACAGUAGUAGUUGAUGUUAGUUCCCUUAGGAUUUUGCAGUUUCAAGGGUGUUUGGAAUUUCCAUGGAAAUGAAACCAUGUAUCCUAUCUGUUUUCCAUGGCAUUUGAACUUUGAAGACACUGUGCAGUAUGAAUUUCAAAUUCCAUGGAAAACAUUGUGAAGCCAUUUCAUUUCCAUAGGUGGAACAAACACCCAUUUUCAUUCUCAGACCCGAGAUGUUUUGUGGAGGAUUAAAUACAGCUUUAUAUAGAACAGAAACUUAGAAUACAUUCAACUCUAUCUAACUUCAGCCAUUAAACCAAACUUAGGCUUCAG